rnacentral:rRNA from 1 species
AACGAACGCUGGCGGCAUGCCUAACACAUGCAAGUCGAACGAGACCUUCGGGUCUAGUGGCGCACGGGUGCGUAACGCGUGGGAAUCUGCCCUUGGGUUCGGAAUAACAGUUGGAAACGACUGCUAAUACCGGAUGAUGACGUAAGUCCAAAGAUUUAUCGCCCAGGGAUGAGCCCGCGUAGGAUUAGCUAGUUGGUGGGGUAAAGGCCUACCAAGGCGACGAUCCUUAGCUGGUCUGAGAGGAUGAUCAGCCACACUGGGACUGAGACACGGCCCAGACUCCUACGGGAGGCAGCAGUGGGGAAUAUUGGACAAUGGGCGAAAGCCUGAUCCAGCAAUGCCGCGUGAGUGAUGAAGGCCUUAGGGUUGUAAAGCUCCUUUACCCGGGAUGAUAAUGACAGUACCGGGAGAAUAAGCCCCGGCUAACUCCGUG